AGGGUCCGAGCGCGCGGAUCCUGCACCGCCUAAUCUAGUCUAUCAUUGCACGUAAGACGGCGAGGAACGCACUUCUGAAUUCGGGUUAUCUCGAAAACAGGAAGCCGACAGUUUUGUGUUUUUAUAUAUAACAAUAACGAUUACAAUCAAAAAUAAAAUUCCGAGCAUUAUAGCAAAAUUUUGUUCGAACCUUUGCAAAUUUGUGAUAAUUUAAGUAUUCAGCGCGCUGUCUAUACCGAUCAAAAAAUGCCACAAGCGGCCCACGAGACGCAAAACAUUUUGAUGACGUACUUCAUUCUUCUUCUUCUAUUAAUCUCACUUUGGGUAUUAUACUCGGGAUUAUUCUUCUAAUCACAGCAGACAUUCCUCAUUAUGAGCUGAAAAACAGAGAAGACAUGCGUGUCAAAAGGCGGAUGCAUUCGAAGGAUCCAAGAUGGACAUUUCAUUCGAAAAGCUCACUGGUUCUCUCCAUCACUUCUUAUGUUUUUUCUUGGUGGCUGGAGAUACAUGUUUUACGCAAAUCUCUUUCGAUCGUUUAGUGACCGAUUUUUACAAUGAAAAUUAUUUAAAAAUAUUUAAAUAAUAAUUUAAAAUUAUUUAAAAAUAAAUCAGAAUACAGAAAGAUGUUAAAAGGU